ensembl:lncRNA
GGAAAAAUGAUGAGAAUGUAUGAAAAUGGGAAGUGAAAGAACAAGAAACAACUAAAAGCCACUGUUAAGUGAAUGAUCCUUUUCAGAAAAAGCUUAGAAGGAGAGAUUCUGAUUUAGCAGGGGGUUGGAUUCUCUUCUUGAAUUGGAAGUUCUGACUUGAACCUGGCAUUUUCUGAAUGCUGAACUGAAACCGGCUAAGAGUGGAACAACCUACCAGGAAGUUUGUGCUGGGCUUCCAAAACGGUUCUGUCUUCCGCCAAGUGGAUCAGAGCCAGAACAACAGAUGGAGUCUUUUACACCGCCCUCGUGCCUGCUUUACACCAGGCAUGGUGCGCAGCAGCCCAGGCAGAAAUGCUUCUGGCAGAGAAUGGGAAGUGGAGCCCUCUGACAUUCAUCCUGACUCAGUACAGUUGCAACCCUGAUCUAGGCCUUAAGAAAAGUCCAGUUACAUGCUUUAUUGUCUUCCUUAUGCACUCCUUAACAAAGCACUACUCUGAUACAUAUACUAGUAAACCUUGCUUUUAAUAUACCUCGAGGUCUUUACUGUCCCUUUGACUUCAGCUGCAAGGAGUCACCAAAAUGCAUGCAUGACUGCCCAAGCAGCUGGGCUUAAAAGCCUGUUGAGGAGCUACCUGGUAUGUUCUUGUUUCUCAUUACUAGGCUUAUCAGCAGCACACUGUAAGUAGAAGGCUGCAAAAGAUUAAAAGAACAUUAUUUCUAUGAUUUAAAACUAUCAAUUGAAAAUACUACCACAUACUGUGCAAAAAUGAGGAAAAAAGAUUUUUUUUUCUCCUGGAUUCUGAGAAAUUAAGGUAAUAUUUGGCAGCUAAUACAGAACCUGAAGGCAUACAAAUUGUACUUGGCAAAUCUAAUGUCACAUGGCUCUAUCGCCUGCUCUUAUUGCUACAUAUUUUGUUUUGUUAUUGUUUCUGUAAUUUCCAUUUAUGCACCUCUGUCUGUAGAUGUCUAGCAUUCAAGCAAUUAGCACUGCUAAUGAAAGAUGUAUCCUGUAGAAGAGCUUGUCUGCAAUCAGCUUCUGAAGACUGAUUUACCUGUGUAAUAUCCACAGUGUCAGGACUCAAAGUGCUUCUUUAUUAGCUAUCAUGAAUUGUUCAGACAGAGCUUUCUGUAAAGCCAAAUGCCUCUCUAGGUGCAGAAGGGAUUCAUGGUCUGGCACUCUGAACUGCAAGACAAGGCAAUGUGAUUCAGGAAUAUACUUUGAAAGACUCCUGUUAUUUCCCUCUGCAGAAAUAAAGAGGGCUGAAGCCAUCAACAGUCCUCCCCCAACUCCCAAAUCCACAUUCAGCUGGCAUUUCUGGGCACUGAUAUACGAGAGCUGAAAACAAGAGAGAGUAAACAUACUUCCCAUCUGUUAGUUUG